rnacentral:rRNA from 1 species
GAAUUUUCCGCAAUGGGCGAAAGCCUGACGGAGCAAGACCGCGUGGGGGAAGAAGGCUCUUGGGUUGUAAACUCCUUUUCUCUGGGAAGAACAAAAUGACGGUACCAGAGGAAUCAGCAUCGGCUAACUCCGUGCCAGCAGCCGCGGUAAGACGGAGGAUGCAAGCGUUAUCCGGAAUGAUUGGGCGUAAAGCGUCCGCAGGUGGCAGUUCAAGUCUGCUGUCAAAGACCGGGGCUCAACCUCGGAAAGGCAGUGGAAACUGAACAGCUAGAGUAUGGUAGGGGCAAAGGGAAUUCCUGGUGUAGCGGUGAAAUGCGUAGAGAUCAGGAAGAACAUCGGUGGCGAAGGCGCUUUGCUGGACCAUAACUGACACUCAGGGACGAAAGCUAGGGGAGCGAAUGGGAUUAGAUACCCCAGUAGUCA